CCUACGGGUGGCAGCAGUGAGGAAUAUUGGUCAAUGGCCGGAACUCUGAACCAGCCAAGCCGCGUGAAGGACGAAGGUGCCAAGCGUUGUAAACUUCUUUUGUCAAGGGACAAAAUCAGGCACGAGAGCCUGAUCGAGGGUACUUGAAGAAAAAGCAUCGGCUAAUUCCGUGCCAGCAGCCGCGGUAAUACGGAGGAUGCGAGCGUUAUCCGGAUUUAUUGGGUUUAAAGGGUGCGUAGGCGGGCUGUUAAGUCAGCGGUAAAAGCCCGGGGCUCAACCCGGGCGCGCCGUGGAAACUGGGUGUCUUGAGAUGGCGAGAGGUAUGCGGAAUGCGUAGUGUAGCGGUGAAAUGCUUAGAUAUUGCGCAGAACUCCGAUUGCGAAGGCAGCAUACCGUCGGCGUACUGACGCUGAGGCACGAAGGCGUGGGUAUCGAACAGGAUUAGAUACCCCAGUAGUC
rnacentral:rRNA from 1 species